UCUCUGGCAGCUGCAGUUCCGUUUCCGGAGCGGGAUCUGGAACGGGCUCUGGUUCUAGAUCAGGAUCCAAUCAUGCACCCGGUCCAGGUACCGCUCCAGGUCCCGUUCCCGGAAACGGUGCCACCGCCAAUGCA
ensembl:ncRNA mir-4958 mir-4958 stem loop